rnacentral:rRNA from 1 species
UACGAAGGGGGCUAGCGUUGUACGGAAUUACUGGGCGUAAAGCGUGCGUAGUCGGUUAUUUAAGUCGGGUGUGAAAGCCCCGGGCUCAACCUGGGAAUUGCAUUCGAUACUGGAUAGCUAGAGUUCGGCAGAGGGAAGCGGAAUUUCCGGUGUAGCGGUGAAAUGCGUAGAUAUCGGAAGGAACAUCAGUGGCGAAAGCGGCUUCCUGGACCAGAACUGACGAUCAGGCACGAAAGCGUGGGGAGCAAACAGG